rnacentral:rRNA from 1 species
UACGGAGGGGGCAAGCGUUGUCCGGAAUCAUUGGGCGUAAAGCGCGCGUAGGCGGCCCGGUAAGUCCGCUGUGAAAGUCAAAGGCUCAACCUUUGAAAGCCGGUGGAUACUGUGGGACUAGAGUACGGAAGAGGCGAGUGGAAUUCCUGGUGUAGCGGUGGAAUGCGCAGAUAUCAGGAGGAACACCAAUAGCGAAGGCAGCUCGCUGGGACGUUACUGACACUGAGGCGCGAAAGCGUGGGGAGCGAACAGG